AACGGCGAAGUAUGAGUAUAACU
rnacentral:siRNA from 1 species